AUGAACCUUUGAGGGUUGAGCUGGCGUUUAUUCGCAUGUGCUUGCCCUCUCAUCCUUAUACACCUGUGCACUUUUGAAGGGAGACAUUAGUAGACAUUCACUUGUCGAAGGUAUCUCCCUUUACACCACAUACUCUAAUGAUUACUUUGAAUGUUUAAACGCUUAACAGCAUUUAAUUA
rnacentral:misc_RNA from 1 species